rnacentral:misc_RNA from 1 species
GAUGAAGAACGUAGCGAAAUGCGAUAAGUAGUGUGAAUUGCAGAAUUCAGUGAAUCAUCGAAUCUUUGAACGCACAUUGCGCCUCCUGGUAUUCCGGGAGGCAUGCCUGUUCGAGCGUCAUUAAAAUCACUCAAGCUUAGGUUUACCUAUUGCUUGGUCUUGGAGAUGGAAGCCAAUUCAUUGGAAUCCUCUUCGAAAUCCAAUGGCGAAGACCCUUGCUCUCCCAAGUGUAGUAAUAACUUAUGUCACUGAAGGAAGCGAGAAAUCUUCCGCCGUAACCCCCAUAUUUUCUAUGAUUGACCUCGGAUCAGGUAGGGAUACCCGCUGAACUUAAGCAUAUCAAUAGCGGAGGA